AAAUAAGCUAGAUUAGAUUUCAAUUGCAGCCCCCCACGCCUCCUCUUCCCUCUUUUCGUCAUCUAACUAACUGAUGCUGCUGUGAUCGUGAUCGCAUCCGUGUUCUUGCUCUUUCUUCCUCUCCAGUCGUUCAAUUGCAGUCUUCCAGCUCACCUCCUAUUUUCGUAUCCUGUUCUUGCUCCUUCCUCUCCGAUCAUUUGUGUUACCCCUGAGUUAGUCAUCAAAUCGGUCAGAGUUUUUUUCACUCUGAUUCUUAUUUAUUUUGAUAGUCUGUGGAUUAAUCAUCAUUUAAAUGUUAUCUAUGGGAAUUGAAAAAUAAAAAAAUGCACCAUCAUAUUCCUUUUAUAGUUCGAUUCCUUAUAUUUAAUAAUCUGUUGAUCGAUCAGUUUUCAAGUGUCAUUAGUUUUUUUUAUCUCCAGUUUCAGCAAUGGAAAAAAAUUCAAGAAAUGUAAGUUGAAAACACAAUAAGACAUUAUCAGUUCUCUGCCUGAAGAGGUCCUAAACAAAAUUCUUGGGAACUUGCCUAUAAAAGAUGCCAUAGAAACGAUCUUUUUGUCAAAGGAAUGGAGAUACAAGUGGAGAUCGAUGUCAGAUCUUAUAUUUGAUAGCGAUUUAUUUUUCACUCCAAAUGAUGAGGAACCAUUUAUAUUGAUGAUACUAUAUUUGAUUAAAGUUAUGGAAUUUCUUUUUCUUCACAGAGGUAAUAUUCGAACGUUUCAAUUUAACAGCAUAUGGGAAAUCAUUUCCUCCAAAUUGGAUAUAUGGAUGGAUUAUUUGAUCAAUUCUUAUAUUCAGCAACUUAAAUUGACAUUUGCUAUCGAGUAUUUGAUCCCUUUUUCAGUCUU
rnacentral:lncRNA from 1 species